CCUACGUGAGGCAGCAGUGAGGAAUAUUGGUCAAUGGGAGAGAUCCUGAACCAGCCAAGCCGCGUGAGGGAAGACGGCCCUAUGGGUUGUAACCUUCUUUUGUCGGAGAACAAAACCCGGGACGUUUCCCGGACUGCGUGUAUCCGAAGAAAAAGCAUCGGUUAACUCCGUGCCAGCAGCCGCGGUCAUACGGAGGAUGCGACCGUUAUCCGGAUUGAUGGGGUUUAAAGGGUGCGUAGGCGGUCCGUUACGUCAGCGGUAAACUUGCGGGGCUCAACCCCGUCGAGCCGGUGACACUGGCAGACUUGAGUGGGCGAGAGGUACGCGGAAUGCGGGGUGUAGCGGUGAAAUGCAUAGAUAUCGCGCAGAACUCCGAUUGCGAAGGCAGCGUACCGGCGCCAGACUGACGCUGAGGCACGAAAGCGUGGGGAUCGAACAGGAUUAGAUACCCUAGUAGUC
rnacentral:rRNA from 1 species